rnacentral:rRNA from 1 species
GACGAACGCUGGCGGCGUGCCUAAUACAUGCAAGUUGAGCGCUGAAGGUUGGUACUUGUACCGACUGGAUGAGCAGCGAACGGGUGAGUAACGCGUGGGGAAUCUGCCUUUGAGCGGGGGACAACAUUUGGAAACGAAUGCUAAUACCGCAUAAAAACUUUAAACACAAGUUUUAAGUUUGAAAGAUGCAAUUGCAUCACUCAAAGAUGAUCCCGCGUUGUAUUAGCUAGUUGGUGAGGUAAAGGCUCACCAAGGCGAUGAUACAUAGCCGACCUGAGAGGGUGAACGGCCACAUUGGGACUGAGACACGGCCCAAACUCCUACGGGAGGCAGCAGUAGGGAAUCUUCGGCAAUGGACGAAAGUCUGACCGAGCAACGCCGCGUGAGUGAAGAAGGUUUUCGGAUCGUAAAACUCUGUUGGUAGAGAAGAACGUUGGUGAGAGUGGAAAGCUCAUCAAGUGACGGUAACUACCCAGAAAGGGACGGCUAACUACGUG